UGGGGAAUUUUGGACAAUGGGGGCAACCCUGAUCCAGCCAUGCCGCGUGUGUGAAGAAGGCCUUAGGGUUGUAAAACACUUUCAGCGGGGAAGAUGAUGACGGUACCCGCAGAAGAAGCCCCGGCUAACUCCGUGCCAGCAGCCGCGGUAAUACGGAGGGGGCUAGCGUUGUUCGGAAUUACUGGGCGUAAAGGGCGUGUAGGCGGCCUGCCAAGUCAGAUGUGAAAGCCCCGGGCUUAACCUGGGAACUGCAUUUGAGACUGGCCGGCUAGAGGUUGGAAGAGGAGAGUGGAAUUCCCAGUGUAGAGGUGAAAUUCGUAGAUAUUGGGAAGAACACCAGUGGCGAAGGCGGCUCUCUGGUCCACACCUGACGCUGAGGCGCGAAAGCGUGGGGAGCAAACAGGAUUAGAUACCCCCGUAGUCCCUGAGCGGGCUGGCAAGGCGCAU
rnacentral:rRNA from 1 species